rnacentral:rRNA from 1 species
AGGAGUUUGAUCCUGGCUCAGAACGAACGCUGGCGGCAUGCCUAACACAUGCAAGUCGAACGAACCCUUCGGGGUUAGUGGCGCACGGGUGCGUAACGCGUGGGAACCUGCCUUUGGUUCGGAAUAACAGUGAGAAAUUACUGCUAAUACCGGAUAAUGUCUUCGGACCAAAGAUUUAUCGCCAUUAGAUGGGCCCGCGUAAGAUUAGCUAGUUGGUGGGGUAAAGGCCUACCAAGGCGACGAUCUUUAGCUGGUCUGAGAGGAUGAUCAGCCACACUGGGACUGAGACACGGCCCAGACUCCUACGGGAGGCAGCAGUGGGGAAUAUUGGACAAUGGGCGAAAGCCUGAUCCAGCAAUGCCGCGUGAGUGAUGAAGGCCUUAGGGUUGUAAAGCUCUUUUACCCGAGAUGAUAAUGACAGUAUCGGGAGAAUAAGCUCCGGCUAACUCCGUG